rnacentral:sRNA from 1 species
GCUGGGUGGUGUGGUGCACGCCUGUAAUCCCAGUGGCUCCGGAGGCUGAGGCAGGAGGAUUGAGAGUUCAAACCCAGCCUCGG